GACCCCACUUUAUAUGAUUCUUACAAAUAUUUGUUGUCCAUUAAACCUGUCUAAUUAACAACAUAAUUUUGUAUAUAUUAAGGAAUGUGGUCAAAGUGAAACAAUAACAUACAUGUGUGAUAUUUGUUUUACACCCGCUGUAAAACCUUGGUGUAAAAAAUGUUCUUGUUAAUAUUCAAAGUAAGAACUUUAUCAACUAUAAUUCAA
rnacentral:lncRNA from 1 species